rnacentral:lncRNA from 1 species
UGAAAUGUUAUGGUAUGUCGAUUUAUGCGCAUGUUCAGUGAAAAAUUAUGAUAUAUUAUGAUACAAAGUGUUUUGAUACAGAUCGGAUUUAUGCUCUUAGCCUAAUUAUGUUUCAGUGGGCCCUGCCAAUGGGGAUUAUACGUUGGUACUCAGUGGACCCUGCCAGUGGGGGUUGUGCACUGGUAUUUGUGGAUCCUGCCAGUGGGGGUUGUGCGCUGGUGUUUGUGGACCCUGCCAGUGGGGGUUGUGCGCUGGUAUUCUAUAGACCCCGCCAGUGGGGGUUAAAUGUUGGUCAUAGUCAAGGCUGUUGAGUUACGAGUGUUUUGAAUCGAAUCGGAUUUAUGAUUAUGUUAUAUGUGAAUAUUUGAAAAUAUUUGAUUUGUAUUAAAUCAGCAUGAAAUAUACUCUUAUAUUUAUUUGCAACAUUAUUCUUGAAAAUUAUAUAAUAUCUGAAUUAUCUAGUUGAGAUAUUUGUUACUUACUGGGCUGUCUAGCUCAUUACCUUUCUUUCUAUUUUUCAGAUUCAGAUAAUUAAUUUCGAGCGUGAGAAGAAAUAUUGGGACAGAGCUUUUAGAGGCG